AUGGAAUGCCUCAUAGUAUUACUCAGCUCUUCUUCCGAAGCUAAACACCAGAUGUCUCUUCACGUGUGUCAGCGUGUAUUAAAACCACCGUCUGGGCCACAGGCACAAUCACAGGCUGGGCAGCAACAGGUGGCUCCCAGACCUGGGCCUCUGUGUGCCAGGUGCCAUCCACACCAUUCCCGACCCUCACUGAGGGCUUGCAUGACAGCCUGGCCAGCAGGAAGUCCCCAUGUUGGGCAUGCCACCCACCACUGUCCUGAAGCCUCUGCAGCCCAGAAGAUGGCAAGGUGAGCACCUGUCCUGAAGGGGACACCGGUCAUGGCCCAGAGGGGCCUUGUGAGCACAGGCAGCAGAUGACCCUUGGAAGACACACGGUUCUCUGCAGAUCUGACCUCAUUUCUUUUUUUUUAGGUUUUUGUGUUUUUUUGUUUUGUUUUUCUUUUGGUACCGGGAAUUGAACUCAAGACCUUGCACUUGCCAGGCAGGUGCUUGUGUCACUGAGGUAUAUCCCUGGCCCGGACCUCAUUUCUUAAGUUGGGAAGUGACUGCUCAUGAUUAAACUACUGAAAAUCCUGCCAACCAUGACCCUCGCCAACUCCAGGGUUCCUGGCAGGGUUUUCU
rnacentral:lncRNA from 1 species